AUGUCAUCCAUGCUGAAUAUGACUGUGCUGGCAACUUCGCUGGAGGGCAUGAAAACCCAUGGCGAGCUCAUGUACGUCGAUGCUCUUGAUCUGUCCACCGUUGACUUUACUGGGAUAGGAGGCCCGCCGCCUGCACAUAAGUUUGCUGUCUCUGCAUGGACGGACGCUGCUGUCAAGGCUGUGCUUGCCACAGACAGGAUAACUGAUACGAAAUAUGGGAAACUGCAGCUGAUGGCCAAGCAUGCUAUAGACUACAGUGUGUUUGGUGGGCCACAAAACUUUGGCAAGUGGAUGGAUGUGCAUUCAGCUCCAUCUUGUCCUACUGAGGCGAGGGCACCUGUUGAGCAUCUAGUUGGGUAG
rnacentral:rRNA from 1 species